UACGUAGGGGGCUAGCGUUGUCCGGAAUUAUUGGGCGUAAAGAGCGUGUAGGCGGUCCGGUAAGUCAGCUGUGAAAGUCAAGGGCUCAACCCUUGAAUGCCGGUUGAUACUGCCGGGCUAGAGUCCGGAAGAGGCGAGUGGAACUCCUGGUGUAGCGGUGGAAUGCGCAGAUAUCAGGAAGAACACCAACGGCGAAGGCAGCUCGCUGGGACGGAACUGACGCUAAGGCGCGAAAGCGUGGGGAGCGAACAGG
rnacentral:rRNA from 1 species